rnacentral:rRNA from 1 species
GAUGAACGCUGGCGGCGUGCCUAUACAUGCAAGUCGAGCGAACGGACGAGAAGCUUGCUUUUCUGAUGUUAGCGGCGGACGGGUGAGUAACACGUGGAUAACCUACCUAUAAGACUGGGAUAACUUCGGGAAACCGGAGCUAAUACCGGAUAAUAUUUUGAACCGCAUGGUUCAAAAGUGAAAGACGGUCUUGCUGUCACUUAUAGAUGGAUCCGCUCUGCAUUAGCUAGUUGGUAAGGUAACGGCUUACCAAGGCAACGAUGCAUAGCCGACCUGAGAGGGUGAUCGGCCACACUGGAACUGAGACACGGUCCAGACUCCUACGGGAGGCAGCAGUAGGGAAUCUUCCGCAAUGGGCGAAAGCCUGACGGAGCAACGCCGCGUGAGUGAUGAAGGUCUUCGGAUCGUAAAACUCUGUUAUUAGGGAAGAACAUAUGUGUAAGUAACUGUGCACAUCUUGACGGUACCUAAUCAGAAAGCCACGGCUAACUACGUG